GGGGCUGUAGCUCAUCUGGGAGAGCGCCACAAUGGCAUUGUGGAGGUAAGGGGUUCGAGUCCCCUCAGCUCCACCG
rnacentral:tRNA from 2 species